rnacentral:rRNA from 1 species
UACAGAGGGAGCAAGCGUUGCCCGGAUUUACUGGGCGUAAAGCGUCCGUAGGCGGUAAGAAAAGUCGGAUGUGAAAGCCCCGGGCUCAACCCGGGAACUGCAUCCGAAACCAUCUUGCUAGAGUAUGAGAGAGGGAAGCGGAAUUCCUGGUGUAGAGGUGAAAUUCGUAGAUAUCAGGAGGAACACCGGCGGCGAAGGCGGCUUCCCGGCUCAUUACUGACGUUGAGGUACGAAAGCGUGGGUAGCAAACAGG